CUCUCUCUCUCUCUCUCUCUCUCGUUUUUCUGUUUUCCUUGGAUAUUGGAGGGGGCAUGGGAUCCUUGUAUACUUUUUCAAGUUUUGGCCUGUAUUAUACUUAGGAUUGUUAUUUGUUGUUGGGUUUACAUCUGAGUUCUGAAGGAUUUUGAAGACAUGGAUGACGAAUAUGCUAAGCUUAUUAGAAGGAUGAACCCACCAAGGUACAUCCUUUCUUCCGGAGUAAAAUUUUUGUAGUUGUGUUCUGGGUUUCUGGGUCUGCUUGUGAAUGUUGCGUUUGAGGUCUUUUUUGCUUUUGUUUUGAUGGGUUAUGUUUUUUCGCAUUUCUUGGUGUUGGGUGUAUAAUCUUGGAGGGUCUAUGGAGUAUGAAUUGUAUCCUUUGCUUGGAGAUGGAUUUAGAGAAAGUUUUGCAUUCUUUCCUUAUUUUUUUUUUUAAGUUUACUCUGCUUGAUAGUCUUUUUCAUUGCUUUGAUUUUCAGUAUUUUGGCUGGUUUAUUGCUGAGAAAUCUAGAGUAAAAGAGAAGAAAAUUUAAUGAAAUAAACUAAUCUUAAGUAUUUAAUGAAUUUCUUGAAUUAGAAUUUGAAACUAAAUCCACUCAAGUUAAAGUAGCAUAUUUUCUGAUGGUUGGUGAGCAGAAAAUAAGCUACUUUAACUUGCUUUUCGUUUCUUUUUGGCUUCCAUCUUCCCCCAAUUUUCUUGGCAACCCAACAGAGCCUCCUGAUUCCUAACCCUUUCUUCAAAUUAAGGAUCAUAGGUUGGCCUACUCUCUCUCU
rnacentral:misc_RNA from 1 species